AUUACCUACUUGUUGUCCCCAUAUAUAUAUAUAUAUAUAUAUAUAUAUAUAUAUAUAUAUAUGGGGACAACAAGUAGGCAAU